rnacentral:tRNA from 1 species
CAGUAAAUAGUUUAAUUAAAACAUUAAUUUUGGAGAUUAAUAAUAGGCUACUUGCUUUUUGCUGA